rnacentral:rRNA from 1 species
UACAGAGGGUGCAAGCGUUAAUCGGAAUUACUGGGCGUAAAGCGUGCGUAGACGGUUAUGUAAGUCGGGUGUGAAAGCCCCGGGCUCAACCUGGGAAUGCCAUUCGAGACUGCAUAGCUAGGGUGCGGAAGAGGGAAGCGGAAUUUCAGGUGUAGCGGUGAAAUGCGUAGAUAUCUGAAGGAACACCAGUGGCGAAAGCGGCUUCCUGGUCCAGCAC